rnacentral:rRNA from 1 species
CUCUUCUCGUUAGUUUUUGAAGUAUGGCCUGCCCACUGACCUUGAAUGUUGAAGGGCCGCGGUAUUUUGACCGUGCAAAGGUAGCAUAGUCAUUAGUUCUUUAAUUGUGAUCUGGUAUGAAUGGCUUGACGAGGCAUAAGCUGUCUUAAUUUUGAAUUGUUUAUUGAAUUUGGUCUUUGAGUUAAAAUUCUUAGAUGUUUUUAUGGGACGAGAAGACCCUAUAGAGUUUGACAUUUAUUCACGGUCUCUUUCUGUUUGUGAGGGUUCACUAGGGCUGUUUAAUAUGUUUUGUUGGGGUGAUGGGAGGGAUAUUAUUUAACCCCUCCUUUGUGUUGUUAUAUUUAUUUAUAUUUGCUUGAUCCAUUUAUUUUGAUUGUAAGAUUAAAUUACCUUAGGGAUAACAGCGUUAUCUCCCUUGAGAGUUCUUAUCGGCAGGGGGGUUUGCGA